CCUACGGGUGGCAGCAGUGAGGAAUAUUGGUCAAUGGUCGGGAGACUGAACCAGCCAAGCCGCGUGAGGGAUGAAGGUACAGAGUAUCGUCAACCUCUUUUGUCAGGGAACAAAGGCGGGGACGUGUCCCGGCCCGGCGAGUACCCGGAGAAAAAGCAUCGGCUAACUCCGUGCCAGCAGCCGCGGUAAUACGGAGGAUGCGAGCGUUAUCCGGAUUUAUUGGGUUUAAAGGGUGCGUAGGCGGGCUUUUAAGUCAGCGGUAAAAAGUCGGGGCUCAACCCCGUCCUGCCGUUGAAACUGGGGGCAUUGAGUGGGCGAGAAGAAGGCGGAAUGCGUGGUGUAGCGGUGAAAUGCAUAGAUAUCACGCAGAACCCCGAUUGCGAAGGCAGCCUUCCGGCGCCCUACUGACGCUGAGGCACGAAAGUGCGGGGAUCGAACAGGAUUAGAUAUCCGAGUAGUC
rnacentral:rRNA from 1 species